AUUGAACGCUGGCGGCAGGCUUAACACAUGCAAGUCGAACGAGUGGCGGACGGGUGAGUACUGCUUGGGAAUCUGUCUGAUGGCGGGGGAUAACUACGGGAAACCGUAGCUAAUACCGCGUACCAUAGGUUGAGCCCAUGUGGGAUUAGGUAGUUGGUGAGGUAAAGGCUCACCAAGCCGACGAUCUCUAGCUGGUCUGAGAGGAUGACCAGCCACACUGGGACUGGAGCACGGCCCAGACUACUACGAGAGGCAGCAGGGGGGAAUAUUGCGCAAUGGGGGCAACCUGACGGAGCCAGGCCGCGGGAAUGAAGAAGGCCUUCGGGUGGUAAAGUUCUGUCGGUAGCGAGGCGGUACCUACAGAAGAAGGACCGGCUAACUCCGUGCCAGCAGCCGCGGUAAUAC
rnacentral:rRNA from 1 species